GUCUACGGCCAUGCCACCCUGAUCGUACCCGAUCUCGUCUGAUCUCGGAAGCUAAGCAGGGUCGGGCCUGAUUAGCACUUAGAUGGGAGACCACCUAGGAAGACCGGGUGCUGUAGGCG
rnacentral:rRNA from 1 species